GCCUGUGAAUGGGAAGGCUGUCUGGGAGCUCUGAGGAUUCAAGCUCUGAUUUCACAGCUGGUUUCACUGCAGGGUGAGCAGGCAGGGAGCCACUUUCUAGACUGGAGCCUCUCAAAUGCCAGAAAGUUGGCGCCUGUGCUGUGGCAGAGCCUGCCUCCUCCCUAGCCUUCCCUCCUCUCCAGGAAGUUGCUUCAGCUUUUUAAAGACAAGAUUUAUCUGGGUUUUCAACCUGGAGGGACUUGGAUAACAAAUACUUGGAUAAUGAAAACAUCCAAUAAUUAUGUGCCACCUACUCACCAGGAUCAUGCCCCCACAGGAAAAUGUGGAACAAAGCUCUCCUCAAGGGGAAAGAAAACGGUUUUCUCUCAUAAGUAUGUACCGUGUGCCACUGUAUGCCAGGCACUAGGCUGGGAGCUGGGGCUGUAA
rnacentral:lncRNA from 1 species